UACGGGGGGGGCAAGCGUUGUUCGGAAUUACUGGGCGUAAAGGGCUUGUAGGUGGCCAACUAAGUCAGACGUGAAAUCCCUCGGCUUAACCGGGGAACUGCGUCUGAUACUGGAUGGCUUGAGAUUGGGAGAGGGAUGCGGAAUUCCAGGUGUAGCGGUGAAAUGCGUAGAUAUCAGGAGGAACACCGGUGGCGAAGGCGGGUCUCUGGGCCGAUACUGACGCUGAGGAGCGAAAGCGUGGGGAGCGAACAGG
rnacentral:rRNA from 1 species